CUUUGAAGCUCUGGCUAGCUUCUCCUUGGUACUGUCGUGCUCCCUUGUAGACGACUCCAAUGCUUGCCUGACCUUGCCAUAGUAAGCGGUAUCCAUCUCAAAGCGCUUCACUUCCAGGGCAUGUCGCUUGUCCUGAUCUUCCAUCCUCCCUCUAAUCUCCUGAUUAGCCAUCUGAAUCCGAGCAACACUCAUCUCUAAUUCAGUCUUCUCUGCCUGCAGCUGAUCUCUAGCUU
rnacentral:lncRNA from 1 species